CCAGUCAUCCUCUGAUCUUCCCCCAUUUAUUCCAUCCCAAACAAGGAAGCCACCCAGCUAGCCCAAGCCUCCAGAAGCAGGCUCAUAUACAUCGGACGCGGGGAUCAAUGAGUUGUUUUGAAAGUCUUGUGCCCGGAUUAUCACUACCAGCCCAGUUCCAGCCUCUGUCACAGCCCAAUGUGGACCUGAGACUCUGUGUGGCCUUCAAGGUGCGUGGACACUUAGACUGCACAGUGAUCUCAUCCAGCUGGAGGAGACCGUUCUGCCACACUCAGACAUUGAAGGUGUGACGUUUGAUGGACUCUUCAAACCUCAA